rnacentral:rRNA from 1 species
GACGAACUGCCCAACCGUUGUUCGGAAUCACUGGGCUUAAAGGGCGCGUAGGCGGCGAUACAAGUCAGGGGUGAAAUCCGGCAGCUCAACUGUCGAAGUGCCUUUGAUACUGUAUCGCUCGAGGGAGGUAGGGGUCUGUGGAACUUCUGGUGGAGCGGUGAAAUGCGUUGAUAUCAGAAGGAACGCCGGUGGCGAAAGCGACGGACUGGACCUUUUCUGACGCUGAGGCGCGAAAGCUAGGGGAGCAAACGGG